rnacentral:rRNA from 1 species
GGCUCAGAACGAACGCUGGCGGCGCGUCUAAGCAUGCAAGUCGAACGGCAAGAGGUAGCAAUACCUCCUAGAGUGGCGGGACUGGUGAGUAACACGUGGGUGACAUACCCUUCAGAUGGGGAUAGCUAUUAGAAAUAGUAGAUAAUACCGAAUACGAGCACAGGGGUUAGAGAUCUGUGAGGAAAGGAGCUAAGGCUCCGCUGAAGGAAUGGCCUGCGGCCCAUUAGCUAGUUGGUGAGGUAAGAGCCCACCAAGGCGAUGAUGGGUAUCCGGCCUUAGAGGGUGAACGGACACAUUGGGGCUGAGAUACGGCCCAGACUCCUACGGGAGGCAGCAGCUAAGAAUAUUCCGCAAUGGACGAAAGUCUGACGGAGCGACGCCGCGUGGAUGAAGAAGGCCGGAAGGUUGUAAAAUCCUUUUGAAACUGAAGAAUAAGCGUUGUAGGGAAUGACAGCGUGGUGACAGUAGGUUUUGAAUAAGCAACGGCUAAUUACGUGCCAGCCGCAGC